rnacentral:ncRNA from 1 species
AUUCUGAUUGAUCCUGCCAGUAGUUAUAUGCUUGUCUCAAGAUUAAGCUAUGCAUGUCUAAGUACACACGAUUAACAGUGAAACGCAAAAGGCUCAUUAUAUCA